GAUGAAGAACGCAGCAAAAUGCGAUAAGUAAUGUGAAUUGCAGAAUUCAGUGAAUCAUCGAAUCUUUGAACGCACAUUGCGCCCGGUAGUAUUCUGCCGGGCAUGCCUGUUCGAGCGUCAUUUCAACCAUCAAGCCCCAGCGCUUGUGUUGGGGGCCUGCGGCUGCCGCAGCCCCCCAAAAGCAGUGGCGGGCUCGCUAUCACACCGAGUGCAGUAGUUCAUCUUCUCUCCGGUCUUGUGAGGCGGGUUCCGGCCGUGAAACACCCCACUACAUUCAAGGUUGACCUCGGAUCAGGUAGGAAUACCCGCUGAACUUAAGCAUAUCAAUAAGCGGAGGA
rnacentral:misc_RNA from 1 species